GAAAUUUCAAAAAAAUAAUCAAUUAGAAAAUGGGGAAUAUCUCGUGUUUAGGUACGAUGGCGCUCUGCAAUUCACAAUAAGAAUUUUCAGCAAGAAUGGACUGGAGAGGCAAGUGAAAUCAACAAACAUGGUAGAAAAUCAACAAGCUUCAAUAGAUGGAGGCAGCAAGCGUAAAAGGCCAGAAAAAUUCCCUAAAAAGACUUGUGCUAACGGUGAAAAUGAAACAGAACAUGAAACUCGA
rnacentral:misc_RNA from 1 species